AUUGAACGCUGGCGGCAGGCCUAACACAUGCAAGUCGAGCGGUAGAGAGAAGCUUGCUUCUCUUGAGAGCGGCGGACGGGUGAGUAAUGCCUAGGAAUCUGCCUGGUAGGGGGGGCUGACGUUCGGAAACGGACGCUAAUACCGCAUACGUCCUACGGGAGAAAGCAGGGGACCUUCGCGCCUUGCGCUAUCAGAUGGGCCUAGGUCGGAUUAGCUAGUUGGUGGGGUAAUGGCUAACCAAGGCGACGAUCCGUAACUGGUCUGGGAGGAUGAUCAGUCACACUGGAACUGAGACACGGUCCAGACUCCUACGGGAGGCAGCAGUGGGGAAUAUUGGACAAUGGGCGAAAGCCUGAUCCAGCCAUGCCGCGUGUGUGAAGAAGGUCUUCGGAUUGUAAAGCACUUUAAGUUGGGAGGAAGGGCAGUAAAUUAAUACUUUGCUGUUUUGACGUUACCGACAGAAUAAGCACCGGCUAACUCUGUGCCAGCCGCCGCCGUAA
rnacentral:rRNA from 1 species